GGCCGCUAGAACGCUGGCGGCGUGCCUACACAUGCAGCUCGAGCGAUGAAGCUCCUUCGGGAGUGAGAUACUAGCGGCGGACGGGUGAGUAACACGUGGGUAACCUGCCUCAUAGAGGGGAAUAGCCUUCCGAAAGGGAGAUUAAUACCGCAUAACAUAGCACUACCGCAUGGUAGAGUUAUCAAAGGAGCAAUCCGCUAUGAGAUGGACCCGCGGCGCAUUAGCUAGUUGGUGAGGUAACGGCUCACCAAGGCGACGAUGCGUAGCCGACCUGAGAGGGUGAUCGGCCACAUUGGAACUGAGACACGGUCCAGACUCCUACGGGAGGCAGCAGUGGGGAAUAUUGCGCAAUGGGGGAAACCCUGACGCAGCAACGCCGCGUGAGUGAAGAAGGCCUUAGGGUUGUAAAGCUCUGUCAUAUGGGAAGAUAAUGACGGUACCAUAAGAGGAAGCCACGGCUAACUACGUGCCAGCCGCCGCGGUA
rnacentral:rRNA from 1 species